rnacentral:rRNA from 1 species
CUCGUAGGCGGUUCGAUAAGUCGGAUGUGAAACCCCCAGGCUUAACCUGGGGCCGCCAUUCGAUACUGUCGUGACUAGAGUGCGGUAGGGGACCAUGGAAUUCCUGGUGUAGCGGUGAAAUGCGCAGAUAUCAGGAGGAACACCAGCGGCGAAGGCGGUGGUCUGGGCCGAUACUGACGCUGAGGAGCGAAAGCGUGGGGAGCGAACAGGAUUAGAUACCCUGGUAGUCCACGCCGUAAACGUUGGGCACUAGGUGUGGGGCCUAUUCAACGGGUUCCGUGCCGCAGCUAACGCAUUAAGUGCCCCGCCUGGGGAGUACGGCCGCAAGGCUAAA